GCUGGAGUUGCUAGUAAUCGCGAAUCAGCAUGUCGCGGUGAAUACGUUCCCGGGCCUUGUACACACCGCCCGUCACACCAUGAGAGUUGGCAAUACCCAACGUACGUGAUCUAACCCGCAAGGGAGGAAGCGUCUUAAGGUAGGGUCAGCGAUUGGGGUGAAGUCGUAACAAGGUAAC
rnacentral:rRNA from 1 species